GUAAUGAUGGAGGAUGGGCGCAGCAAAGGAUUCGGUUUUAUAUGUUUCUCCUCCCCUGAAGAAGCCAUAAAGCAGUUACGGAGAUGAAUGGCAGAAUUGUGGCCACCAAGCCACUCUAUGUAGCUUUAGCUCAGCGCAAAGAAGAGCGCCAGGCUCACCUCACUAACCAGUAUAUGAAGAGGAUGGCAAGUGUACGAGCUGUGCCCAACCCUGUGAUCAACCCCUACCAGCCAGCACCUCCGUCAGGUUACUUCAUGGCAGCUAUCCCACAGACUCAGAACGAUGCUGCAUACUACCCUCCUAGCCGAAUUGCUCAACUAAGUCCUCACUGGAUUGCUCAGGGUGCCAGACCUCAUCCGUUCCAGAAUAUGCCCGGUGCUAACCGCCCAGCUGCUCCUAGACCACCAUUUAGUACGAUGAGACCAGCUUCCUCACAGGUUCCCCGAGUCAUGCUAACACAGGGUGUUGCUAACACAUCAACACAGACAAUGGGUCCACGUCCUGCAGCUGCUGCUACUGCAGCUACUCCUGCUGUCCGCACUGUUCCCCAGUAUAAAUAUGCUGCGGGAGUCUGCAAUCCCCAGCAACAUCUUAAUGCACACCCACAAGUUACCAUGCAACAGCCUGCGGUUCAUGUGCAAGGUCAAGAACCUUUAACUGCUUCCAUAUUGGCAUCUGCACCCCCGCAAGAGCAAAAGCAAAUGUUGGGUGAACGGCUGUUUCCUCUUAUUCAAGCCAUGCAGCCUUCUCUUACUGGCAAAGUUACUGGCAUGCUGUUGGAGAUUGAUAACCCAGAAUUACUUCACAUGCUUGAGUCUCCAGAGUCUCUCUUCUCAAAGGUCAAUGAAGCUGUAGCUGUACUACAAGCCCGCCAAGCGAAAGAGGCUGCCCAGAAAGCAGUGAGCAGUGCCACUGGUGUCCCAACUGUCUAAAUUGAUCAGGGACCAUGAACAGAAACUUGUGCUUCACCGAAGAAAAAUAUCUUAAAUAUCGAAAAAUUUAAAUAUUAUGAAAAAAACAUUGCAAAAUGUAAAAUAAAUGAAAAAAGGAAAGGAAACUUUGAACCUUAUGUACCGAGCAAAUGCCAGGUCUAGCAAACAGUGCUAGUCCUAGAUUACUUGAUUUAAAACAACAAAAAAAAUAGUAAAAUAUAAAAACAAAUUAAUGUUUUAUAGACUCUGGGAAGAGAAUUUUCGGCAAAGUACAAAAAUUUAAAGCAUUCCUUUCUUUAAUUUUGUAAUUCUUUACUGUGGAAUAGCUUGGGACAUCAGUUCUGUUCUAAGGACCGGCCGAUGACUGAGC
rnacentral:lncRNA from 1 species